GUGGUUUAAAAACAAAAGAAAGCCUUUUGUGUAGGCCUCUCAUAGUGUGCCGAUUCCAGAGUGAACUGAGACCUCAAACCAUUGCCCAGCCCCCUCCCAGUGAGCUGUGAGCACUGAGUGAGGUCAUACAGUC
rnacentral:snoRNA from 1 species